rnacentral:rRNA from 1 species
GAUGAACGCUGGCGGCGUGCCUAAUACAUGCAAGUCGAGCGAACAGAUAAGGAGCUUGCUCCUUUGACGUUAGCGGCGGACGGGUGAGUAACACGUGGGUAACCUACCUAUAAGACUGGAAUAACUCCGGGAAACCGGGGCUAAUGCCGGAUAAUAUUUAGAGCCGCAUGGUUCUAAAGUGAAAGAUGGUUUUACUAUCACUUAUAGAUGGACCCGCGCCGUAUUAGCUAGUUGGUGGGGUAAUGGCUUACCAAGGCAACGAUACGUAGCCGACCUGAGAGGGUGAUCGGCCACACUGGAACUGAGACACGGUCCAGACUCCUACGGGAGGCAGCAGUAGGGAAUCUUCCGCAAUGGGCGAAAGCCUGACGGAGCAACGCCGCGUGAGUGAUGAAGGUCUUCGGAUCGUAAAACUCUGUUAUUAGGGAAGAACAAAUGUGUAAGUAACUGUGCACGUCUUGACGGUACCUAAUCAGAAAGCCACGGCUAACUACGUGCCAGCAGCCGCGGUAAUACG